UUGACAUUGGAACAUAUUAAUGGCGGUCCUCCUUGUCAUGGAAUGGAGAGCUUUAGGGAAUCAAUGCUGUCUCUAACAGAGCAUGAUGACAAACAGGUCCAUCAAAUUGCUCGAGACUUCCGUGACAGGUGGAUUCCAAGACCUGUCAGAAAACAUGGCUAUAUGGG